rnacentral:lncRNA from 1 species
CUCUGCUUCCCUCCCAGGUUCAAGUGGCAGCUCCCUUAAUGGCUUGUCCUGCUCUGUGUCCUGCUUUGGACAAGAACAGAGCACCUGAGCUCAGCAGGAGCUGGCCUCGGACCCAAGCGCCCUCCUCAGCCUGCCCGGCAUGCCGGUGUCUGCUUCUCCGGCAGGAGCCUGCAUGGGCCCCGGAAGGCCAUCCUGGUGUUGCUAUGCAAAGUGCAGGUCACAGCCUUGGCUUCUCAGUUCCCUGGCGGUGGCAUCAGUGUCACUGGAAGCCUGUGUGAAACAUCCAGCUCAGACCUGCUGGGGCAGACACUGCAGUUUCACAGGGUGGCCAGGUGCUGCCGGUGCACAUGGAGCGCUGGGAGGAGCCUCUGCUUCCGGAUGUGCAAAAGUCUUCGGUUUGGUCAGGCGACUUGCCUACCUCUGACGUCACUGCCUUUGUGGCCCUGCACAUCCAGCAACCUGGAAGCUGCUGGGCGAGUUCCAGCGCCACAUUCCACAGAAUCCUCUGCGCCUGCCCAGCCGCCACGCUCACGAACAUCCGGGGCAUGUGGCCCUCCUCCUCACAACUGGCUUCAAAGCAUCUCCCCUCACUAUUCUUUUUUUUUAAGGUCUCACCAUUUCAUUUUUUAUCCUCAGGACCUUUCACACUAUUACUCUCCGAGCACAUCAAUUACAAACUACCAAAUGCUGCAACAUUUGCAGUUUUCUAAAACUACAUUUACUGCUAUUUCAGGUCCGCUCCGGCCCGCUGCCUCUUCGCAGGCGUGUGUGGUUCGCCGCCGUGCGGAGCAUGGCGCACACAGACGCUGCAGAAGCC